rnacentral:ncRNA from 1 species
AGAUCUCUAAUUAGAAAAGACUAUUUGCUGAGUUUAAGCAUAUUAAUAAGUAGAGGAGAAGAAACUAACUAAUAUUCUUCUAGUAAUGGUAAGUGAAUCAAAAAGAGCUCAGCUUGAAAAUUGAGGUACUUCACACUUUGAAUUAUAGUCUGAAGAAGCAUCCUCUGUAGUGUGCCAGCCCCAAGUUUUUUGGAAUGGAAUGCUGAAGACAGUGACAUCCUCAUCAAGGGUAAUUUUUUGUUGCUCCAUGAGGCAUAAUCUAUAAUUUAAGUUAUUUAAGAAUACAAUCCUAAGUGGGAGGUAAAUUUUUUCUAAAGCUAAAUAUUAGUAUGAGACCAAUGAUAAAUAAGUACCACAAUAAAAUAAUGAAAAGAACUUUGAAAAAAAAAUUAAAUAAUGCUUGAAGUUAUUGAGAGGGAAGCAAAUGGAAGCUAUAGAUGUACCCCAGUUGGAUGUGGAAUGAAUUUGGCUAGUUUACCACUCAAUCAUAUUAAAUAUUAUUAAGCUAUCAUAACUACUAAUUGCUAUAUCUAAAAGAAUAAUUUCAUAUAUAACAUCUCCAAAGACAACAAACAAUGAUCUAUUAUUUCUACAUGCAAAUAUUUGGUUUUUUUAACUAUAGAUAUUUCUUGUUUUUAGGAAAAUUGUUCUACUAUAAAACAUGUUAAGGCUCAUAAGU